rnacentral:rRNA from 1 species
AGAACGAACGCUGGCGGCAUGCCUAAUACAUGCAAGUCGAACGAACACUUCGGUGUUAGUGGCGCACGGGUGCGUAACGCGUGGGAAUCUGCCCUUGGGUUCGGAAUAACAGUUGGAAACGACUGCUAAUACCGGAUGAUAUCGAAAGAUCAAAGAUUUAUCGCCCAGGGAUGAGCCCGCGUAGGAUUAGCUAGUUGGUGAGGUAAAGGCUCACCAAGGCGACGAUCCUUAGCUGGUCUGAGAGGAUGAUCAGCCACACUGGGACUGAGACACGGCCCAGACUCCGUACGGGAGGCAGCAGUA